CCUACGGGAGGCAGCAGUGGGGAAUAUUGGACAAUGGGCGCAAGCCUGAUCCAGCCAUGCCGCGUGAGUGAUGAAGGCCUUAGAGUUGUAAAGCACUUUAAGCGAGGAGGAGGCUACUGAGACUAAUACUCUUGGAUAGUGGACGUUACUCGCAGAAUAAGCACCGGCUAACUCUGUGCCAGCAGCCGCGGUAAU
rnacentral:rRNA from 1 species